UACACACCGCCCGUCACACCACGAAAGCCGGCUGUACCAGAAGUCGCCAAGCUAACCGCAAGGAGGCAGGCGCCGAAGGUAUGGUCGGUGAUUGGGGUG
rnacentral:rRNA from 1 species